UGAGAGCAUGAUGCGGAAAUAGGAAAUAGAAAGACGAAUAAAGUAUUUACACUCGGGCUUCGCCCGAACACAUCUAUUACUUUUUAAGAAAAAUUGAAAAUAUUUUUUGCACAUAUAGCCAUUUUACAUUUAAAUUUGACAGUUGUCAAGUGUGUAUUAUCACUACUCAUUGUUUUUGUGUCAAGUGUGCAUUAUCACUACUGCUUGUUUCUUCGAAAAAAUAUUUGUUUCAUAUGUGUAAAUUGACGGUAAAUUUCUGUGGCUCAUUUUUAGAAGUACUUUAAAUAGAAAAGCCAUCUCAAUGUAUGUAACCUCCAUAUUUUCGUAAAGUUUUAAAAUCACUUCCAAAUUUGGAUGUGGGCACUCAAUUUGGUUCGGCUAGCUGCCAGCGAGAAUCAGGUCGAAGAGCGAUGCCGCAUGGUCCUAUUGCCUGAAAAAAAAGCUCUGGAGAAGUCACGGCCAUCUACUUCUUCAGUUUCCUUCAGUCCCUUACAAAGGGGCACCC
rnacentral:sRNA from 15 species